AUUUAACACCUCAGAGGAGUUUCAACAAAAAGGAGAAGAUUUUGGGUGGCUUGGAUCAGAAGCAGUCAGGCUGGAUCUCAUGUUUCAUCUUGAUGCAACAUCUCAUUUUUUUAAACCAUAAACAUUUCAGCACUUGCAAUAUAGGUCUGACCUGCACAUCCACCCCACACUUUUUUUUUCAGACACCACAGAAGGAAAUUUUUGGAGUAGCAUUUAAAGAGAAAUGUCUAAGUCAUCUGCAUCUAUCAACGAAAAAAACAGUCUGUCUCUCCAACAAAGAGAUGAAGGGGAAAGUGACCUAGAGCAGACUGAUGAUAUCACGGAUGACUCGACAAGUUCAUACUACACUGCUCUUUGUUCUCUGAGUGAGUACAGUGAAGCUUUAGGGGACAUAGCACACACUGUCUCUACAGAGUGUCCUGCUGAAGGUGGCACAUUUGAGUUCUUGGACUGCAUUACCACUAUGGAAAGCAUCACUUCAAGAUUCUUGAUCACAGAAACCAAACUAUCACAGGACUGCAAAACUCAAGAAGAGAAGAGUACAGAAGUGCUUCCUGAUGUGUCCCAAUGUGACCAUGAUAAACCUUCAUCAACUGAGAGAGCAUUAGAAUCUGAGUCAAAACAUCUGCUGUCAGGUACAACAGCAACAAAUGUGGAUUUGCAGUCUGUAAAGGCAGCCUUUAGGAAUCCUGUGCAAAAGCUGGAUAAUUCUGACGUGCUUAAUUUAUCAGGAGAAGAUUCAUUGGUUAAACCGAGGGAUUAUUUUGGAGGCAACAGGACUGUAUUUCAUACUAACAUUAGAACCGCUGAGGAGCACAGCUCCCCAGAACCCAUAUUCACUUCAAACACUAUUUUGAUAACGCCUGGGAGAAAUCAAUACAGCAAGGGUAGGGAACAGGAGCAUGGUGGCACAGAGCCAAAAGAGAACCACGCGACACAAAAGCAAAGACCCAGGGAACGUUUGAGUGCACCCAGGCUUGAGAGAGGCGGGCAUAUUCUGGGUCAUACGGAAAAGGAGGGGGAGGGCCAGGGUAGAGGGGUGAGUUGCGGAAAGGAGCAGGUUGAGCUGUCAGUCAGAUCUAGAAAUAGAAAAGCGUCUGCAAACUGCAUCUCAACACUCACAGCCAGCAAGCAGGAGUCAAGAAUCCCGCCGCACUGUUAUUCAGAGCGUAUCCCCGCAACCAGGCACCAACACCAGCUACAGAGACUCGCUGAUACUCGGACGUUGGAAAAGCAGAGCCGGGAAGGCGCCUGGCAGUCCAGACCACUCUCCUGCAAGCUGUGUAGCAGCUCUUGGCAACCCUGCCACACUACAGACAAUACCAGAGGAUCAACCAGAAUGGGAACAAAGCUUGCUGAGGCCAGUAGUAAGGUGGGGGGCCUUGUUAACCAGGCCCAGAUGUAUUCAAACACUCAAAACACAUCUGCUUGCUCAGAAUCCAGCAGCUUUGAGUGUGUUGAUGUGGCAUUGGAAACCACAGAUGAAGUAAACCGGGGCUUAAAGACUGUGCCCAAAAGACAAAUCCAACUGAAGAGACGGGACACAGCAGAGGCGCAUGCCAGAGAAAAUAACAAUCAAAUCCUUCAGGUUGCAAACACACCUGUGCAUGCCCGGGACAUAUUUCAGCGUCAACAUAGCACCCCUGCAGCUUUUAACCAGGAGUCCCAUGUGGCCGAUCAAAGGUCAGUACAGGCUGAGCGAAAGCAAAGGCUUCAGAAGUCAUUUUCCCUGGAUGAAACAUCCAGCAAAACCCAGAUGGCUUCCUGCAUCAUAACAAAUGUCCUAUCAAAAAAAAUGCAAAAUGAACAGAAUCUUCGUACCGUGGAUGUUUCUGAUAAAGCUUUUGCUUUUAUCAAUGUGAACAACAGGCCUUCUACCACCGAGGAAUGCAUCUAUUUGUCAGGCAAGGAGAUAUACACUGAAACUACCAAACUAAAUCAAAGUGCAUCUCUUAAGAGGGAGGCCCAGAGAGAGUGCAGCCCUGUUCAAAAGCACUGCAGUGUUAACUCAAAAACACAACCCAAGCUGCUAAGCAAACAUGGCUUCAAUCCUCUUUUAAGCACAACUGGCAGGCCUGAAGCUCAAUGCAGUGGCACUGAAAUAACCGACCCUUCAGAGAAGGAGAAAGCAGAGAAGUUGAGCCCAAGAGAGGAGGUGUUGCAGCUGCCUAACCUGAGCCCUGGAGGGAAGCUAUCCUGUGACUCAGCAAAGGGCAGAGCAUGGAAUUCGAGUGCAGCAACAAAUGUAGCCAUCAGCACACAGUCCUCUGUGAAAACCACACCUGAAGAAUGCCAUACAGGGCAAGGAAUCCAUAAACAACACAAUAUGACCCUAACCAAUGUGCUGGAAAAGCAGGAGCAACAGGCUGGCACCAUGGAAAGUACACUCAGUCCUACUAAUAUUGCAUGCCUAAUCUCUGAUUUGGAAGCAAAAGCAGUGGAUAACACAAUCCUGCAAGCUGAUGAGAGCAAUGUUGGCAAGGAGCAAGAGAGUGGCAGAGAGGAAGUCAAGUCACCAGGAGAGUCUGUAAUCCUAGGUAUGCAAAGCCAAGGCAAACUGAAAGCCAAGGCCCCUGUGCAUGUAGUAAGAGACAUGAGAAGCCUGGUGAAAAACACAUAUAUAUCCUUCAAAGGCACGGGGGAAUCAGCCCAUAGAAUAGAUGGGAGUGCUCCUUUGUUUAACCCAUCAGUACACAAUUUAAGCAACAACAAGGGUGAAGGUAAGGGAAAGGGAUACAGAUCAGAAGAAAAACCCCUGGUACGGAAAGUCACUCCACCUCUUUUACUGGACAGAAGGAGGGAUCACUCUGCAACGAGAGGAUGCUCGACUAAGGUAAUGCCUCCCGUAGAAUCAAAUGACAAAAGUCAUAUUGUUGGAUUUACAAAGGUCAGCCCAAUUAGUAUAACCAAGGCAAACAGUAGUGCCUUGUCAAAGCCCUCAGAGACACAGGAUAGCCAAGUUGGCAUGAGUAAACCUGAUGUUGUAGUCAGCAAUACAAACUUGAAACCGACAAACAGGACAGACCUGGCACUGCAAGCUAAAGAGGAGGCCUCUACUGACAAGCCUACAAAAGGAGACUUGAACAAGGCAGAGCAUGAGAUGACCAUCAGCUCUGACAAACUCUUCCCAGUAGCUCUGCAAUAUUGUCCACCCACAGCAAUUUCUGAGCAACAGGACUAUGGCAAGAUAAUCAGUGAUGGCCUCCAGACCCCAUGCCUUCCUCCCAGGUCACAGAGUUCAGUGGGGCCUCUGUCUGCUUGCGUCCUAACAGUUGCUUCAACACCCAUGGUUCCCUCAUAUUAUUACAAACCUAAUCCGCCAAUCCACUACCAGACAAUCUCUCCUCAUAUUGGAGCUGUUCAUGGUUAUGUUCAAGGGCCUGUCAUGUUUCAAACACCAUUUUACAACCAGCUCUCUGCAUCAAACAGUCACACCCCCCUACUGAGAUCCCUCUCUGAGGAUGGAAAAAUGUUUGUGCAGCCAACAGAUGGCUCAACCAGUCAAACUCAGAACGGGGAAGCAGAGCUGAAAAUAUCUUCUCCAGAAAGUCAACACAAUACAAUCCUUGUUGCUCCCAUGAGUGCAGAAGCCAGGCUUGGGGCUACAGGUGUGCUGUAUCCAGAAGCCGGAGGAAGUGUCGCAGCAGGACAAGCCCCCCGCCAACUGUUGCUCGACCCGGAAACCGGCCGCUAUUUCUAUGUGGACAUGCCUCAGCUGCCACAGCGCAAGAUGCUAUUUGAUCCAGAAACUUGCCAGUAUGUUGAGGUCCUACUGCCACAGCAGACGCUUCCCAGUGCCGUUUUGCCCACACCCUGUGCCAUACCAUUCGCCUCUCUUCACAUCCCACCCAUGUAUACCCCACAGUGCUUACCUUACGUACAGUCACAUCCUCAGGUGCUCCCACCACCAGGACCAUGA
ensembl:lncRNA